CCACUCUGAGCACCAGUCCUGCGCUUGCGCGGGACUCUGUGGAUACAAUGGGAACCCUUGUGGGGGCACUGGGAGGGGUGUCGGGGAUUGGGGACAGAGGUGUCCAUGAGAUGGAGAGCAGGAGCAGGCUGAUGCUGUGCAGCCCUUGACUCUGCUCUCGCUGGAUGACCUUCAGCUCCUGGAGAAGUUCUGCUUUCCCUUGAGGUGGUUUCUCCUGUCCUGAGAAGCCCAUUACACGAUCUAACAUCUGUUUAUAAAAGAACGAUGACAUCCUUAACACCCAAUGUGUUGUGUCUCCAGAAGAAUUCUCUGCUUCCCCAGAAGAUGAGGCAGGGAGCAGCUGGGACCGGGUUCUGACCAAGGAAGGAAGGAUGCUGAGGGCACAGCUGACUCCCCUCCACUGAAUCCUUCCCCUGAUCCGUGGCCCUGAUGGGGCAACAGCGCUGGGGACUCCUGCAGUGUCUCCAUCAAUCAGCGUUGAAGUGGAACUGAGUACAUGCUUUUCAGAAGCGGCAUCAUUCUCUACUCAGCCAGAGCAUUGGGCCUGACAAUAGCUGGAUCCAGCAGAAAACUGGACACUCUAGGAGAUGUCAUGUGGAGAUGUGCCUGGCUGGACUAAUAGUCACGUGGAUAUGAUUUUUAAAAAAAUCUCUCAGAGCUUUCCUAAAAUCAAAUAAUAUUCUUCAGUUGCUUUAGUAGACGAGACAUUAGCUAGUGUCUUUUUAAUUUCCACAGAAGCUUUUUUUAUGUUACUAAAGAAACUAAACAUUAUGUCUUUUUUUUUGUUACCAAAAUGGACUUAGUAUUAAAAACAAGAAACCUACAAGAAAGGAAACACUCAUAUGGAAUAGAAAUUGUGGGUCACAGCUUUUAAUUUUAUAUAAAAUCAUGUUUUAUUUAUUUACAA